rnacentral:misc_RNA from 1 species
GGACAUCAAACAUAAGUUAAGGGAGCAGCUAUGAAUAGACACAAUUUAUCAAAGCUCGACACUGAUUGUGGAAAUGAUUAUCAAUUACUGGUUUUGUUGAAAUAUAUUUUUGGAAUUUAGAAGUCAGCCUUUUGGUUUGCGUUGGGACAAUUGUCUAAUGUGAAGUAAAAGUCUUGGGUUAACUUGAAGCCAAUAGUGGCAAGUUUACACCUGGUAGCAGCUCUAUGCAAAAAUGUUUUCCUUUGGAAGAACCAUGACUGGGUAUUGCAUGUUUUAGUGUUUAUAGGUGCAUAAGUUAGGACCUUGGUAUUUUUUAGUUUAUCCUUUUAUUAGACCAUUGGUUAUGUGGUACCCCAUUGUUCCCAUUGA